rnacentral:rRNA from 1 species
UACCAGCACCCCGAGUGGUCGGGACGGUUAUUGGGCCUAAAGCAUCCGUAGCCGGUCCUGCAAGUCUUCCGUUAAAUCCAGCUGCUCAACAGAUGGGCUACGGGGGAUACUACAGGGCUAGGAGGCGGGAGAGGCAAGCGGUACUUUAUGGGUAGGGGUAAAAUCCGUUGAUCCAUAGAAGACCACCAGUGGCGAAGGCGGCUUGCCAGAACGCGCUCGACGGUGAGGGAUGAAAGCUGGGGGAGCAAACCGG